GGCUCUGAACUGGUGAGGUUGUUAUUUUGAAAGAAGGGAGGGCCCUCUAGAUAAUGACAGGGAGCUUAGCAGUGUGUUUGUGCACACCUGUUUGCUUCCAGCCUGUGUACGUGCAGCCUGACGGAGGCAAUGUGGAGAUCGGUGCGUGCUGCCGGCCGGGUUUCUGUUGGAAUAAGGGUGAGCUCCUCUCUGGAGCAAAUGGCAUCGGCAGUGAGCGUUGGUGCAAUUGGAGUGGGAUGGUCUUUGUGCCGAGGUGCUGGGGAGGAGCAGCUCACCUUUGCUGCCGUGCUUCUCCUCCCUUUGCACAGCAUAACAGCAGCUGCUGGAGCAUGGGAUGAAAUCUUGGAGCUGAUCAGUUGUACAACAGCAGUUCUUCUCCGAUCGCUUUGGCUUCUGAAAUGUAGGAUCCCUCUUUCUACUUUCUUUCUGUUCAGCUGAAAUCGGUAGACUUUUACUGCUGGAAUAAUAAUGGUAACGUGAGAACAUUUCAGAGUGAGAACAAAUUGUUCGUUUCUUGCUUCCCUUUCAGAAGCCGUGGCUGUAGGUACAGGAUUUCAUAAGGUUGGUUUUUGAACAAAGUUUUGUUUGUUUUUCCUGCAGCAGCAGAUGAUGUAAUGAAUUACAGUGGAUGGUAAAGCUGCAUGUUUUAGACUAUAUGUUUAAGUCAUCCAUUUCAUCAUCUGACAUCAGCAUUGCAUAAUCUGUUGACUGUCCCCUUUUUAUGUAAUGUAUGUUUGUAGUUUGUUUUAAAAUGUACAAAUAUUUUUUUCCACUGCGUGCUUCUGCUCAGCUAUUUCAUGUUUGUCUCUCCGUUGCCCUCUUCAGUUAGAAACUUGUAAGGCACCAUUUUGAUAGCUGGGCCCAUCCGAGCGCUCCGUCUUUCUCUUUUAGAAACAAUCUCCGUGACAUCUCUGGAUGCCCUUUCCAGGUAAGUGGGCUGGUCACAGUGCUGACCCACAUCUGGAGUUUCUGCCCCCACCUGUUUGAAACAGAGGGGCAUCUUGUACUGAUUAAGUCCGUCAGCAUCAGAAAGGUAGCUUUUGUAAUAUACUAGAAGUAAAUUAAUUAUUAAUACAGGUAGACAAAAGUUUAACUUGCCUGCAGUAUACCUGUUUAUUUCACCAUUUUAUGUUUGGAUCUUACCACCUAAAAACGCCAGCUGCAUAGUGAAGCCUCUAGAGACUGUAGGCACCUCUUCUGCCUAUUCCAGCUGCAGUCUCAGCACAGCUGGCUGCUUGCCGUUCGGUGCUGCUCCAUCAGACCCAUCAGCAGGCAUAGGAGCAGAUAUCUGCCAUCCCAGCUUUCUGAGCACAUGUGACCAGCUCUGAUUAAGCCCAGCUGAAUGUGUUUGCAGUGCUGUAAAAUUCCACCGCCCGCCAGCCUGCUCUGCUGCCUGGGUGAGAGCCCGGCCCGCUCGGUGCAGUAUGCAGCGUGGUCACAGUGUGGUGCUGCCCUCGUACUUGUGAGCAGUCCCAGCCCUUAGCUGCUGCACGCUGUGUGGCACCAUUAACUCACCUGGCCCUUGGCCAGGUGUACAUGCUGUCUAGUUCAUGGCAUUCAGCACUUGAGUAACAGAAAACAAAUGCUGCCUUCAAGCUGCAGUGAAUUUAAGGAGGAGAGGGGAAUGCCUUCACUCUCUCCAGCUUUAUAAAGAGAUAAAUUAACAUUUCUCCCUUCAGUCUAGCAUUGGCGAGUUGGAUUUUUAAGAGUGAUUCAGCCAGAAGUUAUCAGGGCUGUUAUGGUAGCACUAUGAUCACGAUAAUUUCCUGCGCUGAAGCCCCAGAUGCAAAGUACUUCUCUUAGAUGUUCCUGAGUCUCUCAUCUGGAAGCUAGGAAACCCAUCAGAGUGAUCCGAGGUUCUGAGACUUGCAAGGGAUGGGGAAUGGAGGAAGCACCUGCUGAGCCUGGCAGCACUGUGGAGGGGCCACGAUGACUGACAGGCUGCCCUGGCUCAGUUAUCACAGUGCUGAUGCUGUCUCUUGUAAAGGUACAGUACUGUGAUAACUGAAGGAUGGCAGCCAUCUGAGCUUCAGAGGCCCUUGUCUGCAGCUGAUGGAUGGACAGUCAGCACAGCAUUCCGCUGAGGUGGGUGUCUUCAUUCUAAACAUACCCCUGAUGUAAAAGUCAAGGUUUACUUGAAUAAAGAUUACACUUUAUUGACAGCUUGCUUCUUAAUCAACUGUUUUGGUGUGAGAUCUUCCAGAAAUGCUACGCUCGAGAAGCUUCAGAAAUGGUUCUGAAAGGGUGAGAAAUGAUUCUGGAAGGGUCCUGUGCAGAGUGGGGAGUACUGGAGUGGGGAGGUGAGAAAAUGUGGGUUGUAUACUUGGUAGUGGAGGACAGGGGAACUACUCUGUAGAUGUACUCAAACUCCUUUUUAGAUGCAUUUUAAUGCUGCUUGUUAUAGAUAGCAUGGUUUUGGCUGACUAGUGCCCUAACUUGCUGUCUGUGCCAUCUGUUACGUGGUUGUAUGCUCUGGGACAGGGCUCACGUCACAGUCUCUCGUCAGUCCAGGACCGCACGGCUGCAAGCAGCUAGCAGUUGGGUUGUUACAGGCUGGGGUUUCCCUGCCUCGGUGACUGGGACUACAAGUCAGGUAACUUCUGUCAUAGUUCCACCUCUAGGAAAGGCUCUGGGGUCCUUGGCAGUGCUGCAGCCCCCCAUCCUCACCCUCGGGGCAGCAGAAGCCUGGAGGAGCUGCAGCACUCUGCAGAGCUUGCUGUUUAGUCUUGAACUGGAGUUAGAACCAAGUUCUUUAACCCCGCAGGAUUUAGAGAGCUCUUCCUUCAGGGCUGGGUGAUUCAUAACUGCCCGGGCCUUGCCCUGUACUUCCCUGCCAGGGAGGAUGAGGAUUGCCUCAGCCCACGGCCACUCAAGCAGCAAUUACGUAGUUCAUGUUUUCUCUGAGCUCUACUGGAAGGUAGCUCUGCCAGGCCGUGCUGCUGGCUGUCUGUGAGCCAGCAGAGUCAAUGCUGUGCCACUGCCAUGGAGCAUCAUGCCAGCCUGCAUCGUCUGAGCAGGGAAAAUUAUUGGUGCCGAUAGCUGCUGGAAUCUGCUUGUGGAGGAGGGCUCUGUUGUACCAAUGCUGUGCAAGCGAUAAAAAGACAUCCUGCUACCAAGAGUUAAAAGUUCUAGAUAGAUUAACAUCUAAGCAGAGCCAGCCCUCGACUUCCUUUCUGCCUCCUCCCAGAGCCCGAGAGGAGGAACCCCUGGCCCCAAAAUGCAGAGCUGGUCACCUCCCCAGCGGCACGAUGCCCUCGUUGCUCUUUUAUGUCAUGCUGCGCUCACUGCAGCGUGCAGCAGCUGGCUGGGGCUGGUCCUCUUCCCUGUGAGAAGCAAGAGGAGUGCCUAGGGGCAGACACAAGUUUUGCUGCCUACCUGGUCUGAGGAAUCAGGUUCCCUACCUGCCUUGGGAUAGGAUUCUGGGGUGAUAAGUUACCUGGGCCGUUUAGUGAGACGUUGUAACUGCAGCAUGCACCCAGUGUUGGUGAAAGAGAGCAAAGCUGCCAGUUGAAAUGACAUGCCUCUGGGCUUCAGAUUGUGAUUCUCAUUUCCUGUCAAAAUAACUACGGCUUUGAGUUCUGACAUGGGACAGGAACUGAAAAUGCUGUCUGUGCCUCAAAACAACACCUCUGUGAUCAGAUUUAAUGGGAGCCUUUAUCUCUCUCUAGCUUAGCAGACACGGUCCUUCUUUCCUGUAGCUUCCUACUGAUAUCAUAAUCGGACAGACAUAAAUACCCGUGGGUUUGCCAUGUCUAAAUAUUGCUACAUGCAAACAGUGCAGCUCUCAAGUCCUUCUUGGCACUGAAACGCUUCCUCCCACUAACUGUUAUAGCAAGAUGUAAACAACGUGCAUAUAGUGACGUGUCACACCACUUUCUGCUCAAAAUAAGCCCUCUGAAGACAGUCCAUUUUCUGAUAAAAUGUUUCAUAAUGUACAGUUCUGAUCCCAAGGAAAGCCCAUUUUCUUGUGACAUGUCAGCUGUCGUUCUGAAUGGAUUUGUUCCACCCCAGUGGUUCUCAGGCUUUUUUAGCAGGAAAGUCCCUGUUCCCAUCUGGAGGCUGUCGCUCUCCCACCCACGUUCUGCCUGAGAAGAGCACCAGUUCUGCUCCUGUGAUAUCUCCUCCAGGCUGUGAUUCUGCAGACCAGAACAGCGCCGCUGUCCCUGGCUCUCGUCCAUCAGCCAUCCUUUUAAGGGGAGAAGCAAGCUGCUACCUGCUUCUCACGGCAGUGGGAUGAAAGGCAUCCAUUGUCUGCUAGCACUGAACCUUGGAACCAGGUGGAGCUUUGCUUUUCCCAUUUUUUUUUACAGAUCUUCAUUUGUUACUGUGACUUCUCUUAACAUCCAGUGGGAAGCAUCAGUACCAAAAGAUUUUGUUUUGUUUAUACUAAGAAAAGAAUCCUUCCCAACAAAGUUUCAAGCACGCUGUUGUUGUUCCAAAGUUCAGCAGUAUCACCUACAAAUCAGACACUGUUCUAGUUACUGUUCAUUCAGACUGCCUCUGAGUAGUGCAGACCGACUCCACUUGAACUUUAACCCAGGCCUUCUUGAUGAAACAUUUUCUAAAUCAAGUAGCCUAAUGAUAAUGUCUUGGUAACUGCAAGUCUCAGAUGUACUGGAGUGUAACGAUGACAAACCUGGUUUUGGGUCAGGUCAAGCAGUUUCUGAAUGUGAGCUUAGAAAUGUUGGGCAAAGCAGAAUAAAUAAAACAAGCUGGUGAAGAUUCUGGUGAAGUCUACUGGCUUGAUGGGGAAAUGUGACGAGCUCAGCCCUGCUGCGUUGUUUUUCUUCAGAUCUACAGCAUCAUCUCAGCGUAGCACCUCCAUCGCAUUCUCUGCCCAGCUCAACAGUGACAAUAUUUUCACUUUCUAGCACAAAAUGGGAUCGAUGUGUUUGAGCUGUAUUCCACUGCAGCUGUUGCCAACAGAGCGCUGUCAUUACCUUCUUGUGUCUGUUGCCAGGUGAGGGGGGGCCUUUUCCACUUGGAGCAAACACACGCAGUAACAGUGACAGCAAUGAUGUGUGCCUCUGAGUGGGAAAACAAGUCCCCAGGUGCACUGUGUGACCAUUUUUGGGGGUUGGACCCAAUGAUCUCUGGAUGUCCCUUCCUACUUCUGUGAUUCUGUGAUUUUCUCCCUUCUACACACAAUAUUUCUGCCUCUGGAUGUUACCUUCCUCAUGCUAAAACCGUGUGUGUGUGGUGGGGAGGAAUUCAGGUGCAGCUGAACGUUUUUGAGCUGAAACAAACCCUGGGUUUUUGACAGUAUCGUGAUUCACAAAGGGAAACAGUGACUUUGAUAGAUGUCAGAUUGGGGACAGAACUCCGCAACAGGAACUGAGUGUUUCAGUGUGGUGUAAUGUCAAAGUUACUGCUAUCGGUUGUGUGCAGGCAGAUGAUAAAGUCCACACUGGGUGACUUGGUAUCUAACUUGCUCUUCGUUAUUCUCAAGAAUAGGAGAGGGCCAUGGAGGAAUGUGAAUGAAUGUACUCUGAUGCAAGGUCAUACAACUGUAUUGUGCUAAUGUUACAUUUUCUGGGACCAAACCCUGCUGGAGCCACAGCUCCUGUGGCUUCACGGCCUCCUCCUGAUGUUCGCCAGCACACAGGAGAAGAAACAGCCCUGGAAAUACUGCUGAGAAACAGGCUGCUGACAGACUGAGACCACUGAGGUGGUGUUAAAUCACGUUUAUGUAAAGGUCCAGGCCAUUCCAUGCUGACGGCAUCUGUGAUUUAAAGCACUUUACCGUACGCAGGGCCACUUGCUGUAGUCUGAAAUGUCACGAAAGCAAAAGGAAGAAAAGCUUUUAAAACGUUGAUGCUGUUUGAGAUCAUGUGAAAACAUCACCUUUUCUAAAGAAAAAUGAUGGCAAGGUGAAGUUUGACUUCUGAAAACUUGAAAAUUGAACUGCAUAACAAGCAAGCGAAGGGAAAAUUUCUAUGUAGCUGCCUGCCCUCUUCUGUUAGAAAUAAUUUGUUUGAAUUUCAUUUCAUUUUUAAUUCACAAAUACCAAGAAAGAGCAGCCCUGUUGUCUGUAUAUUACUGUAAUUUUUUUUUUCUUGGAGGACGUCAGUGCUUCCUGGAAACUGCAAAAUAAAGCAAUAAGGGAGGUAA